rnacentral:rRNA from 1 species
ACGCUGGCGGCGUGCCUAAUACAUGCAAGUCGAACGCACAGCGAAAGGUGCUUGCACCUUUCAAGUGAGUGGCGAACGGGUGAGUAACACGUGGACAACCUGCCUCAGGGCUGGGGAUAACAUUUGGAAACAGAUGCUAAUACCGAAUAAAACUUAGUGUCGCAUGACACAAAGUUAAAAGGCGCUUCGGCGUCACCUAGAGAUGGAUCCGCGGUGCAUUAGUUAGUUGGUGGGGUAAAGGCCUACCAAGACAAUGAUGCAUAGCCGAGUUGAGAGACUGAUCGGCCACAUUGGGACUGAGACACGGCCCAAACUCCUACGGGAGGCUGCAGUAGGGAAUCUUCCACAAUGGGCGAAAGCCUGAUGGAGCAACGCCGCGUGUGUGAUGAAGGCUUUCGGGUCGUAAAGCACUGUUGUAUGGGAAGAACAGCUAGAAUAGGAAAUGAUUUUAGUUUGACGGUACCACACCAGAAAGGGACGGCUAAAUACGUGCCAGCAGCCGCGGUAAUACGUAUGUCCCGAGCGUUAUCCGGAUUUAUUGGGCGUAAAGCGAGCGCAGACGGUUUAUUAAGUCUGAUGUGAAAGCCCGGAGCUCAACUCCGGAAUGGCAUUGGAAACUGGUUAACUUGAGUGCAGUAGAGGUAAGUGGAACUCCAUGUGUAGCGGUGGAAUGCGUAGAUAUAUGGAAGAACACCAGUGGCGAAGGCGGCUUACUGGACUGCAACUGACGUUGAGGCUCGAAAGUGUGGGUAGCAAAC